rnacentral:lncRNA from 1 species
UCUUGUACAUGAUUUCUCAUGACAUGAGUAUUCAGAGUAUGUUUCAGUUUUUCAGUUCCUUCUUGUUUCUUGAAAACCUCUGCAUUUCCAUCAGUGAUCUUAACUAUUAAGAUUAAAAAUUUGCUCCAAAAAUAUUGCUUUGAUGCUUCCAGAUGAUGUAUUCCAAGGAAUGAAUGAUCCCUAAACUUCCUAGUGCCAUGGGAUAUUUCCCUGUUUAAUGCCGAUAGUUCCAUACUAGGUGGAUUCUUUUUCUGUGUGUUGUCCUCAAAUUUUUCCUAGUAAUGCUGAAAUACAUGAUGUGUCAAUAUCUUAGCCUCCUCAAAAGCCACUGAAAUCUGUUUGAUAGCAUGUAUUUGAAUUACAUGCAAUUUUCAACUCCUAUUUUUGUAUUAAGAAAAGUUUUCCUUUGGUACAAUAUUUCAAAUACCUUUUCUUGAGUGCACUGAUAUGAAACUUAAAUUCAGAUACAUCUCAAACAUUUCCCUGAUAAUUAAAAUUAGGGGAGGAACAUACAACUCUCCCCUGUGGAAUGGGAAUUCAAAAGGGAAAUAGGAGAAAUGUUUGUGAGAAGUCGUUGACUUCCUCUGACUUAAGAAUGGUGAGCAUAUUGGUUGAGCUUUAAUCCAGGCUUUUUCCCACUGUCAGAUUUACUAAAUAAAAUGGAGUUGGUAAAGUAACAAUUCUCUAAAUUCAAGAAACACUCAACAUGCCUCAGGAGAUGAGUAGUGAAGUCACAAAGAGUUUGAAACCUUGGUUGGAAUCAUUAAUGGAAACAGAGCAACAAAUCUAUCACCAAGAGAGGAUAAUUGCUUUAUAUGUGAAAGAUAUGUAUCCUAACUAGGCAUCUUCUUACACCCACCAGGCAUAAGACAUACCCUGUACUUCUAUAUCCCGUCUUGUUUUCAGUAGGAAGAAUGUAUUUUUAAUAAGAAUAAUGUUUAGGAAAAACAAGCCAACAGGUUUUCCCAUGUGUAGGAGAAAUCGUGAAUCAUUUCCAUCAGAAUAUGUUUCAGAAGAGGAGGAGCAUGCCAUAAGAAAAAGAACAUCUGAUUUCAGAAAAGACACAAUUAGUAGUGCAGAAGGAGAUGUCCAAGAGAGGAGGACAAAGAGGGAUGGAUGUGCUCUUCUGUCUGGUGGGGGAGCUGAGCAGAAUGAUGUCAUACAUUUUGGAACAGAAAGACAUGCAAGUUGA